rnacentral:SRP_RNA from 1 species
UAUUUAUUAGCGGGGCGAGUGUGUGCUUCGAACCGUGUCAGGGUCGGAAGGCAGCAGCACUAAGGGGAUUUCACAUUGUGCCUCACCUAUUGAACUUAA